CCCGCACAAGCGGUGGAGCAUGUGGUUUAAUUCGAUGCAACGCGAAGAACCUUACCUGGGCUUGACAUCCCGAGAAUCUUCUGGAAACAGGAGAGUGCCCUUCGGGGAACUCGGUGACAGGUGCUGCAUGGCUGUCGUCAGCUCGUGUCGUGAGAUGUUGGGUUAAGUCCCGCAACGAGCGCAACCCUUGUCUUUAAUUGCCAUCAUUCAGUUGGGCACUUUAAAGAGACUGCCGGUGUCAAACCGGAGGAAGGUGGGAUGACGUCAAGUCCUCAUGGCCUUUAUGACCAGGGCUACACACGUACUACAAUGGCAGGUACAAAGGGCAGCCACUUAGCGAUAAGGCGCGAAUCCCAUAAAACCUGUCUCAGUCCGGAUUGGAGUCUGCAACUCGACUCCAUGAAGUUGGAAUCGCUAGUAAUCGCAGAUCAGCACGCUGCGGUGAAUACGUUCCCGGGCCUU
rnacentral:rRNA from 1 species